GCUUACGGCCAUACCAGCCUGGGUACGCCUGAUCUCGUCUGAUCUCGGAAGCUAAGCAGGGUCGUGCCUGGUUAGUACUUGGAUGGGAGACCGCCUGGGAAUACCAGGUGCUGUAAGCA
rnacentral:rRNA from 1 species